rnacentral:rRNA from 1 species
AACGAACGCUGGCGGCAGGCCUAACACAUGCAAGUCGAACGCCCCGCAAGGGGAGUGGCAGACGGGUGAGUAACACGUGGGAACCUUCCCUAUAGUACGGAAUAGCCCAGGGAAACUUGGAGUAAUACCGUAUACGCCCGAAAGGGGAAAGAAUUUCGCUAUAGGAUGGGCCCGCGUAGGAUUAGCUAGUUGGUGAGGUAAUGGCUCACCAAGGCGACGAUCCUUAGCUGGUUGGAGAGAACGACCAGCCACACUGGGACUGAGACACGGCCCAGACUCCUACGGGAGGCAGCAGUGGGGAAUAUUGGACAAUGGGCGCAAGCCUGAUCCCGCCAUGCCGCGUGAGUGAUGAAGGCCUUAGGGUUGUAAAGCUCUUUUGGCGGGGACGAUAAUGACGGUACCCGCAGAAUAAGUCCCGGCUAACUUCGUG